rnacentral:RNase_P_RNA from 1 species
GUAGGGAAGGAUUUAACUUUCGGUGCUUGCCAUUGGCAAUGCACUGAGGAAGGUCCGCCCACCAUUAAAAGCCACCUUCGUAAGGAGGGUUCCGAAUAGGAACGGCAACCGCCCAGAAACGAAACAUCCUUCAGGCAAGGAUGAUGUGGCGAAGUUUCCUCGAAAGGGGAAACGAGCUAACCUGCUGAACUGCCUGGAGGGAAUGGUGGAACGGCGAGCCCUGGCUGGUGCAAGUCCGAUUGGACGCUAAGUAGGAUGUUAAAAGGGCUGUCUGUUUGCUUAACAGAGCCCGACAGAAGGCGGCCUAACCUUCCCUAC